CGAGCGGGGUGAUGGUGCUUGCACUAUCACUUAGCGGCGGACGGGUGAGUAAUGCUUAGGAAUCUGCCUAUUAGUGGGGGACAACAUUUCGAAAGGAAUGCUAAUACCGCAUACGUCCUACGGGAGAAAGCAGGGGAUCUUCGGACCUUGCGCUAAUAGAUGAGCCUAAGUCGGAUUAGCUAGUUGGUGGGGUAAAGGCCUACCAAGGCGACGAUCUGUAGCGGGUCUGAGAGGAUGAUCCGCCACACUGGGACUGAGACACGGCCCAGACUCCUACGGGAGGCAGCAGUGGGGAAUAUUGGACAAUGGGCGCAAGCCUGAUCCAGCCAUGCCGCGUGUGUGAAGAAGGCCUUAUGGUUGUAAAGCACUUUAAGCGAGGAGGAGGCUACUUUAGAUAAUACCUAGAGAUAGUGGACGUUACUCGCAGAAUAAGCACCGGCUAACUCUGUGCCAGCAGCCGCGGUAAUACAGAGGGUGCAAGCGUUAAUCGGAUUUACUGGGCGUAAAGCGCGCGUAGGCGGCUAAUUAAGUCAAAUGUGAAAUCCCCGAGCUUAACUUGGGAAUUGCAUUCGAUACUGGUUAGCUAGAGUGUGGGAGAGGAUGGUAGAAUUCCAGGUGUAGCGGUGAAAUGCGUAGAGAUCUGGAGGAAUACCGAUGGCGAAGGCAGCCAUCUGGCCUAACACUGACGCUGAGGUGCGAAAGCAUGGGGAGCAAACAGGAUUAGAUACCCUGGUAGUCCAUGCCGUAAACGAUGUCUACUAGCCGUUGG
rnacentral:rRNA from 1 species